rnacentral:misc_RNA from 1 species
GAUGAAGAACGUAGCGAAAUGCGAUAAGUAAUGUGAAUUGCAGAAUUCAGUGAAUCAUCGAAUCUUUGAACGCACAUUGCGCCCAUUAGUAUUCUAGUGGGCAUGCCUGUUCGAGCGUCAUUUCAACCCUCAAGCACAGCUUGGUGUUGGGACUCGCGUUAAUUCGCGUUCCUCAAAUUGAUUGGCGGUCACGUCGAGCUUCCAUAGCGUAGUAGUAAAACCCUCGUUACUGGUAAUCGUCGCGGCCACGCCGUUAAACCCCAACUUCUGAAUGUUGACCUCGGAUCAGGUAGGAAUACCCGCUGAACUUAAGCAUAUCAAUAAGCGGAGGA